rnacentral:rRNA from 1 species
GGGUGCGAUCAUACCAGCGUUAAUGCACCGGAUCCCAUCAGAACUCCGUAGUUAAGCGUGCUUGGGCUAGAGUAUUGCUGGGAUGGGUGACCUCCCGGGAAGUCCUAGUGUUGCACCCUC